rnacentral:lncRNA from 1 species
UGUAUGAAGCUUUGUACAAGAACGUUUUUAAGUUUAGAGAUGAUGUUGACUUGGCAGUCAAGAUGCUCUAUGACAAGAAAUACUUCAAGCACACAAAGCACAUUACCUUUAAGCAGUGGAAAGAGCGUGUCAAGUUUGGCAUAGAGACGAACGUCCUUCCUAAGGCAGAACAGGCCACUGCUUCUGAGGUGGUGACUGCAUUGGCCAACCGAAUACCCCCAUUCCCAUUUAAAGUUGCCAAGGCUUUGGAGCCAACGAUCUACAGA